rnacentral:rRNA from 1 species
GAUGAACGCUGGCGGCGUGCCUAAUACAUGCAAGUCGAGCGAACAGAUAAGGAGCUUGCUCCUUUGACGUUAGCGGCGGACGGGUGAGUAACACGUGGAUAACCUACCUAUAAGACUGGGAUAACUUCGGGAAACCGGAGCUAAUACCGGAUAACAUAUUGAACCGCAUGGUUCAAUAGUGAAAGGCGGCUUUGCUGUCACUUAUAGAUGGAUCCGCGCCGUAUUAGCUAGUCGGUAAGGUAACGGCUUACCAAGGCAACGAUACGUAGCCGACCUGAGAGGGUGAUCGGCCACACUGGAACUGAGACACGGUCCAGACUCCUACGGGAGGCAGCAGUAGGGAAUCUUCCGCAAUGGGCGAAAGCCUGACGGAGCAACGCCGCGUGAGUGAUGAAGGUCUUCGGAUCGUAAAACUCUGUUAUCAGGGAAGAACAAAUGUGUAAGUAACUGUGCACAUCUUGACGGUACCUGAUCAGAAAGCCACGGCUAACUACGUG